rnacentral:rRNA from 1 species
CCUUGGGCCUGGCUGGCCGGUCCGCCUCACCGCGUGCACUGGUCCGGCCGGGCCUUUCCCUCUGUGGAACCCCAUGCCCUUCACUGGGUGUGGCGGGGAAACAGGACUUUUACUUUGAAAAAAUUAGAGUGCUCCAGGCAGGCCUAUGCUCGAAUACAUUAGCAUGGAAUAAUGAAAUAGGACGUGCGGUUCUAUUUUGUUGGUUUCUAGGACCGCCGUAAUGAUUAAUAGGGACAGUCGGGGGCAUCAGUAUUCAAUUGUCAGAGGUGAAAUUCUUGGAUUUAUUGAAGACUAACUACUGCGAAAGCAUUUGCCAAGGAUGUUUUCAUUAAUCAGGAACGAAAGUUAGGGGAUCGAAGACGAUCAGAUACCGUCGUAGUCUUAACCAUAAACUAUGCCGACUAGGGAUCGGACGAUGUUAUUUUUUGACUCGUUCGGCACCUUACGAGAAAUCAAAGUGCUUGGGCUCCAGGGGGAGUAUGGUCGCAAGGCUGAAACUUAAAGAAAUUGACGGAAGGGCACCACCA